UAACUGGAGAGUUUGAUCCUGGCUCAGAACGAACGUUGGCGGCGUGCUUAACACAUGCAAGUCGAACGAGAAAGUUCCUUCGGGGACGAGUAAAGUGGCGCACGGGUGAGUAACGCGUAGAUAACCUGUCCAGGUGUUUGGGAUAGCCCUUCGAAAGGGGGAUUAAUACCGAAUACGUUGAUUUGUCAUAAGGCAGAUCAAGAAAGGUGGCCUCUAUUUAUAAGCUAUCGCAUUUGGAGGGGUCUGCGUACCAUUAGUUUGUUGGUGGGGUAAUGGCCUACCAAGACAUCGAUGGUUAGCGGGUCUGAGAGGAUGAUCCGUCACACUGGCACUGAAACACGGGCCAGACUCCUACGGGAGGCAGCAGUGAGGAAUAUUGCGCAAUGGGGGAAACCCUGACGCAGCGACGCCGCGUGAGUGAGGAAGGCCUUCGGGUCG
rnacentral:rRNA from 1 species